CUGAGUUGGCUAAGAGGUAUUCUCACGUAAAAAGAGAUCACUUGGUGGAGCUUCUGAAGCAGUUGGUCUUUGUUUCAAGUAGGCGUACACCCUCACGAGGGCUUGGUGAUGGAAAUAAACUAGUUACAGCUGGUGUCCCAACGCUUUUAGGGACUGGAUCGUUCUCCCUUUUGAGCUGUAGACGACAAGGACAUAGUUGGAAGUGAUCUCAAACCACCACCUAUAGGGAUGCGUUGGCCUCAUAUGCAUGCUGAUCAGGUGCGUGGUUUAAGUUUGAGAGAAAUUGGUGGUGGUUUUGCCAGACAUCAUCGAGCCCCAUCAAUUCGUGCAGCAUGCUAUGUCAUUGUAAAACCAUCUACAAUGGUACAAAAGAUGCAGAACAUCAAGAGGCUACGUGGGCACAGAAAUGCUGUGUACUGUGCUAUACUUGACCGCUCAGGAAGGUAUGUAAUCACUGGUUCAGAUGAUCGCCUUGUAAAAGUAUGGUCAAUGGAAACUGCAUACUGCCUGGCCAGCUGUCGAGGGCAUGAAGGUGACAUAACUGAUCUUGCUGUGAAUUCGAACAACACUUUCAUAGCAUCCGCUUCAAAUGAUUGUGUGAUCCGUGUUUGGAGAUUGCCAGAUGGGUUACCAGUUUCGGUACUUCGUGGACAUAUUGGAGCUAUUACUGCUAUUGCAUUUAGUCCCAGACCUGGAUCCCCGUACCAACUUCUUUCAUCGUCGGAUGAUGGUACAUGCAGGAUAUGGGAUGCUCGGGGUGCCCAAUUUGCUCCGCGGAUAUAUAUCCCUAGGCCUCCUAGUCCUGAUGGGAAGAACAAUGGCCCUUCUUCUAGUGACGCUCAGCAGAGUCACCAAAUUUUUUCCUGCGCAUUCAAUGCCAGUGGAUCUGUCUUUGUCACUGGUAGCUCUGACACUCUUGCCAGAGUAUACUCGGUUUGGAGUGCUAGUAGGAUCAGUAAUGAUGACCCAGAGCAGCCAAAUCAUGAGAUGGAUGUUUUGGCUGGACAUGAGAAUGAUGUUAAUUAUGUUCAGUUCAGUGGUUGUGCUGCAGGAUCUAAAUUUGCCGACUACUCAAAAGACGAUAGUGUUCCAAAAUUUAAGAGCUCCUGGUUCUGUCAUGAUAACAUAGUUACAUGCUCUCGUGAUGGUAGUGCAAUCAUUUGGAUCCCAAGAUCUCGGAGAUCACAUGGAAAAAGCUGCCGAUGGACACGAGCAUAUCAUCUCAAGGUUCCACCUCCGCCCAUGCCUCCUCAACCCCCUAGAGGUGGGCCACGUCAAAGGAUCCUGCCUACUCCCCGUGGGGUUAACAUGAUUGCUUGGAGUCUGGAUAAUCGUUUUGUUCUUGCCGCUAUCAUGGAUUGUAGAAUAUGCGUGUGGAAUGCCUCUGAUGGUAGCUUGGUACAUUCUUUAACUGGCCAUACAGCAUCUACAUAUGUUAUGGACGUCCAUCCUUUCAAUCCUCGGAUAGCUAUGAGUGCUGGCUAUGAUGGAAAAACAAUAGUGUGGGAUAUAUGGGAAGGAAAACCUAUCCACACAUACGAUAUUUCACACUUCAAGUUGGUCGAUGGGAAGUUUUCACCAGAUGGAACGUCAAUAAUACUUUCAGAUGAUGUAGGGCAACUGUACGUAUUAAGCACAGGCCAAGGGGAUUCUCAAAAGGACGCUAAAUAUGAUCAGUUUUUCCUGGGGGAUUACCGGCCAUUAAUUCAGGACAUAUAUGGGAAUGUCCUUGACCAGGAAUCUCAGCUUCCACCUUAUCGCCGAAAUAUGGAGGACCCUCUUUGUGAUUCAGCGAUGAUUCCAUAUGAAGAGCCAUAUCAGACCAUGUUUCAGAAACGGCGACUUGGCGCCUUAGGCAAAGAAUGGCGACCAUCUUCUUUAAAGCUUGCUAUAGGGCCAGAUAUCACUUUAGAUCAAGAUUACCAAAUGCCACCUUUGGCAGAUCUAGACUUAGCUGAGCCGAUGCCAGAAUUUGUAGAUGUGAUGGAGUGGGAACCAGAAAUCGAUAUCUUAAGCGAUGGAAAUGACUCCGAAUACAAUGUGCCAGAAGAGGAUUCGUCUGGAAAAGAGCAAGAAUGUUUAAAUUCUUUAACUUCUAGCGAGUCAGGUUCCAGUUCUAGUGAAGGCGAUGAGGAUGGUGGUCAUCAGAAUAGCCGUAGAAGAUCCAAAAGGAGAAAACAUAAAACAGGAGCUGAGAUCAUGACUUCUUCGGGUAGGCGUUUUAGAAAGAGAAACUUUGAUGAGCUUGAAGGUGCUACAAACAAGAACAAACGUACCAGGAAAUCUAGGAGUGGUCGUAAAAAAUCCAAAAGGAAAUCUUCAAAAUCUAAAUCGUCCAGACCUAGGCGAGCGGCUGCACAAAAUGCACUCUCUUGGUUUUCUAAGAUUACAGGUACAUCUAAAGAUGCAGAAGAGGAAGAAGAUAUCUCUGAAUUGAGUGAGUCAUCAGAAAGUGAAUCGACAACAGAGGAUUCAGGCACUGGGGAUAGUGAACUUGAUGUCGCUUUGGUAAAUGGGCAUGACAAGCAAUCAAAGGGGAAAGAUAUUCUCGUAUGUGAUUCAGACAAUGGGGCUCAACAGUGUGAUGUUAGCGAAACUCAACCUGCUGAACGAAGGAGAUUGGUUGUUAGGUUUCCUGUUAAGAGUUCAGAUAAGCUUUCCUUGCUGGAGAACCUACCUGGAACAUCUUCCUAUGCUCCAACUCCAACUUUAGGGAAUGGCUGUGCUGAAGACUCAAGGGUUUCUGGGAACUUUGAAGUUUCCACAAAUCACUUAGAUGCAAGCAAAGUAAAAUGGGGAAUGGUUAAGGCUCGUACAUCAAAGCGAAUGAGAACUGAAUCAAUGUCAUCGCAUGGACUUAUGGGCUCUGAGCCAGAUGGAGAAGAAAAUAAUCUUAGCAAAGAGGCAGAUCACCAUGAUAAUGGUGUUACAGCACCUAAUUGUUUGGAAUUAAGAACAGAUAUCGAUGGAAUUGCAGUUGACACUGACACGGUGAUUUCUAAUGGUUUGCCAAAUGGUGAAGAACGAUGCCUAAGAGUGGAUGGGUCGCCAAGUCGAGUGGCUGAUGAGGGUGCCUCUAACUGUUCUCAGGAUGUAACAGGUCGCUUGCAUGAUCUAAAAGAUAGCCUUCCACCUAUCUCUAGGACGUUGAGGAUACGCUCCAAGAGGGUUUCAAGGGCUCCUGAUACAUCUUUGAAGCAAGAAGUAAAAUCUUCAUCUAUAAAUCAAGAGAAUGGUGGCUCUGACGCGUUAAAUGAUGGUUCUGCAAACACUAAAUUGGAUUUGGCAUUGGACAACCAAAAGGAUGGUUUGGUUGGAACAGAGCUACCUCUGACAAAUGAUUGUGUGCAUGAAUCAAAACCGCUGACCAGUGACCCUGUCUCAGUUGAUGUUCCUGUGUCACAUCCUAAACGGAUGUUUGAUUAUGUCUAUAGACGAAAGAAGUCACGAAAGCAGGAGAAUAACUCAGACCGGGGUGCUACUCUGACUCAAGAAACAAGUCCAGGUUCGUGUAGUCAGGAUCAAAGUAGUGGUGCUAAUACCCACGAAGGUGUCCCUAAUGGGCUCCAUGAGACCGAGUCAAAUGGUUUGGAGAAGCCGGAAAGCAGUUUGACACACAUCCGAGAUAAACUAAGUGAUUCACAUGGAAACCAAAACUCUCAAGAAGAAUGUAUAUCAACUUCUGGGGCAACACUUCGGUCGAGAUCCACAAGGAAUAGAAAGUCUACUUAUCCUUUUAGUGAAAGUAAACCUGUUGAGACAAAGAAGCUUCAGCAGUCGAUAGAAAAGGUAUCUUGGUUAACAUUAUCGACACAUGAAGAGGGUUCUCGUUAUAUCCCACAAAAGGGAGAUGAGGUUGCUUAUUUGCGACAGGGGCAUCAAGAAUACUUGAACUUCAGCUCCCUGAGGGAAGUGGCUCCUUGGACUUCAAUAAAGGCAGGAAAUAUAAAGGCGGUGGAGAUUUGUAAAGUGGAAAGUCUCGAAUACGCAACACUACCUGGUUCUGGGGAUAGCUGCUGCAAAAUGAUACUUAAAGUCAUCGACCCCAACUCCGAAGUAUUCGACAAAACUUUCAAGCUGACAUUGCCUGAGGUGGUGAGCUUUCCAGAUUUUCUCGUGGAAAGGAGUCGGUAUGAAGCAGCGAUACAGAGGAACUGGACUUUCAGGGAUAAGUGUAAGGUUUGGUGGAGAGACGAAGGCGAAGAAGAUGGUAAUUGGUGGGAAGGACGGAUUCUAGCUGUGAAGGCCAAGUCACCUGAUUUUCCUGAUAGUCCGUGGGAGAGGUACACAGUUAGAUACAAGAAUGAUCCGACUGAGACGCAUCUUCACAGUCCGUGGGAGCUUUUUGAUGCUGAUACCAAGUGGGAGCAGCCUCACAUGGAUGAUGAGAAACGAAACCGUCUGCUCUUGGCCUUAACAAAGUUGGAGACUUCUGAUAAAAGAACCAAGGAUUCUUAUGGCCUGCAAAAACUGAAGCAGACCGUGGGAAGUUCGAGCUACACCAACAGGUUCCCAGUUCCUUUGUCGAUUGAAGUAAUCAGAUCAAGGCUUGAGAACAACUAUUACCGGAGUGUGGAAGCAUUAAGACACGACGUAGAAGUUAUGUUGUCCAAUGCGGAAACUUUCUUUGGUCGAAAUAAAAGCGUAGCAGCCAAAAUCUCGCGUCUCUCUAAAUGGUUCGACCGCACGCUACCUUCUUUGUAGCAUAUCUUAUUUCAUAGUAUGUAGAUAAAGUAUUAAUUUCCGCUCGUACCUCAUAGUUCUAAUGAAUGAAAGAUAAUUUUAGGAUUUUUUUCGUUUUAGAGAUUUUUAGGUUUAGGGUUAGUUUUGGAGAGAAUUGUUUUCAUUGCAAGCAAAGAUAGAUUUGGAGAGAGUCAACAACAUUUAAUGCUUUGUAAAACAGAGAACCAUCUUACCUUGAAUAAUCCAACCAAGUUUCAGUAUGAUUUUCUUUUCUGCUUAAUAGUACGAAAAUGUGAACAAAAAUUGGACACUACAUGCAGCAAAAGGACACAGAAAAGUUAUAUGUAAAUUUUGUCUAUUAUCUACUCCUAAUAGAUGAUGGAUAAAAAAGAUAAUACUGCACAAAAGUUGGUGGAAUAUUGAGUAAAAACUUUAUAAAAUGUCUUUAACUGUGAUUUUAUUAAUUUAAACCUAUCUUUCGGCCAAAAUAUUAUUAACGAGGUUCAAAAAAGAAAUAUGUAACGUUUUUAUCAGUGUAACUUUAUAGAUGGAAAUAUCAUCAAAUAACCGUAUUUUAAGCAUUUUUCGCAUAAAUAUGUUUUAGUAGAGAUCAUGCUUUUUUUAUAAAUAUAGAGAUCAUGCUUUUAGUAUGUAAUAACUGAGUGAGCAUGAACAACAAAUAUUCGAAAAUUAUGUUUUAAUGUGGUAAUUACCUUACGAGUGCAACAUCUAUAUUCAUCAGUUCAUCAACUUUUAAGUCACUACCAUACGAGACAAUAUUCUUAUCGACCUAUACUAGAAAUCAGCAAAUUACCAUGUCUCCGUCAUGGACACGUUUGGCAAUCACUUGUAUCAUUUUUGUUUCCCUUUUUUAUCAGCACCAAUGUGAAAAUGUGGAUGGUUAUGAGCAGAACAAGCUAUUUAUACCACCGUGCAUUGGUUUACAUCGCCAUCACAUUUCCUUUAGACCCGAUAGUUAUUGCUGCGACGGAAAGAAUAAGUUCUGUUCACCGAUUAAAGAAGAAUGUUGGCGUCAAUGUGCGAUCCUUAAUCCGCGACCUUCUUCUUCUAAGAAUUAACAAUCUCUUCAAGUGUGUUUCAUAUACAUGAAUUUCUUGUAACUUUCUAUUUGAUUUUCUCUCUCAAAUUAUCAUAUAUUAUAAUAUAACACGAGUAUGUGACUCCAAAAAUUUAAUGUAAGAAAGUGACAAUAAAAGUGUUCACAAUUGCUGGAUUUUUUUGGAUUUAAUUAGUGAGAGAUUUUUAGGUUUAGCUUAGGUUAGUUGGAGAGAAGAUAUUUCAUUACAAGGAGAGGGAGAUAGAUUGGAGAGGUCAGCAACAUUUGAUGCUUUGUAAAACAGAGAACCAUCUUCCGUUGAAUGAUCCAACCAAAUUUCAGUCUGAUUUUAUUUUCUGCUUAGUACGGAAAAUUUGGGGAAAAUUGUUUGAAAAUAGUCUAUAAAACUGUUUGAUCCACAGCAGUUUGUAUAUUGUCUUUGCCGUAUUCAAGAGUUUAUCUUCAAACCCUAGAGCUUAUCCGCAAACCCUUAUUCUCUUCUCUUAUAUAAUAAUUUAUUAAUUUUAGAAACCAAGUAUGAAAUAUUAGCUUCUCUUUUUUUUUUACUACAAUAGUUUUCUAUUGAUCUCCUCUUCGCGGCUUUAACUUGUCUAGUUGUCGGUUAUUUCUUGUCUUAAGUUAUCCAUAACUCUCUUCUCCUCUCUCACGCUGUAUCAUUUCUUAACAUCAUAUGAUCGCAUCAAAUAUUUAUUUUCUACGUUUAAGUUCUAUGAUGGCUGACAUUGGAGGGAAAAACACCUCAAAGAGAAGCAUCACAAGUAAAUCUGAAGGAGGAGUAGUAUUAAGACAUUAAUGCUUUUUUUGCAUUGGUGUUACUUCUUUGUUAACACUUCCCAGUUGCAAGAUCUUAAUUACUUUUUUUUAGUUGUUUUUAGUUUUGAACAUAAAGUCCUACACUUUACAUGUUUCUAACAAUUCACAUGGCAUCAUCAAACAAUACAAGUCCUAGAUAAAAAUCUACACUAAAACGAUAUUCCAAGCAAUAUGAACGUAAAGUUUAAGUAACUCUUUGAUAAAUCAUGCACAUACGAUACGACAACCACAUGGUGCUAGCUUUCCAUUGCUAGAGCUGUAAACUGGGCGAGCCCAUGUCCAUUAGCCCAUAUCCAUUUGUCCAUUCAUUGUUUGUGGACAGCAAAGUGACCAUGUCCAUUAAGAACCAUGUCCAUUAAAGACCA